rnacentral:rRNA from 1 species
GGAAGGGAUAAGUGCUGAAAGCAUCUAAGCAUGAAGCCCCCCUCAAGAUGAGAUUUCCCAUAGUUUAACUAGUAAGAUCCCUGAAAGAUGAUCAGGUAGAUAGGUUCGAGGUGGAAGCAUGGUGACAUGUGGAGCUGACGAAUACUAAUCGAUCGAGGACUUAACCAA